GGGUUGUGAGGUUAAGCGACUAAGCGUACACGGUGGAUGCCCUGGCAGUCAGAGGCGAUGAAGGACGUGCUAAUCUGCGAUAAGCGCCGGUAAGGUGAUAUGAACCGUUAUAACCGGCGAUUUCCGAAUGGGGAAACCCAGUGUGAUUCGUCACACUAUCAUUAACUGAAUCCAUAGGUUAAUGAGGCGAACCGGGGGAACUGAAACAUCUAAGUACCCC
rnacentral:rRNA from 1 species